GACGAACGCUGGCGGCGCGCCUAACACAUGCAAGUCGAACGGAGCUGAGAGAAGCUUGCUUUUCUUAGCUUAGUGGCGGACGGGUGAGUAACGCGUGAGUAACCUGCCCUGGAGUGGGGGACAACAGUUGGAAACGACUGCUAAUACCGCAUAAGCCCACGAUCCGGCAUCGGAUUGAGGGAAAAGGAUUUAUUCGCUUCAGGAUGGACUCGCGUCCAAUUAGCUAGUUGGUGAGGUAACGGCCCACCAAGGCGACGAUUGGUAGCCGGACUGAGAGGGUGAACGGCCACAUUGGGACUGAGACACGGCCCAGACUCCUACGGGAGGCAGCAGUGGGGGAUAUUGCACAAUGGGGGAAACCCUGAUGCAGCGACGCCGCGUGGAGGAAGAAGGUUUUCGGAUUGUAAACUCCUGUCGUUAGGGACGAUAAUGACGGUACCUAACAAGAAAGCACCGGCUAACUACGUG
rnacentral:rRNA from 1 species